CCUGUUCUACCCAGAAGAGUGGCUCAAGUUCACAUUCAUAAUUUAUUUGUUGAAAGAGUAUCUCCACUUUAUCACAAUCGAGCACUUCCAAUUCUUUCAGAAGUGGCCAGCUUGAACUAAACCUUCUAGAGAAAAAUCUUUUGAGUUGGUGUAAACCGGAGAGUGUAAGAGAGGUAAGGUUAGGGAAUAAGAGUAAAAGUGCUGCUUCAUCUUCAUUUUCAUUGGCAACAAUUGCCUCCACUCCACUUUCCGAUAUAUAUAGGUCCUCAAGUUGCACAAGAGCACUCGCCACAGAAACCGGAAAAAGGUUUAGCAAUUUGUUGCAUCCCCUUACUUGCAAUUUCCUUAAUUUGGAAAAUGAAUUUGCUGGAAGUUGGUCAGACCACAAUGCUCUUAUAUUAUCUAGUCCGCGUACAGACAAGGACUCCAAACCUGGGAGUGCAACCUGUGCAAUUGAUGAUCCCUUUAGUUAAUAAUAUAUACAUAUACAUUCCUAAUAAUUAGACACAUGUAAAUAGAAAAUAAGAGGUUAAAGGAGAAUAUAUCAGUAUAACAAAGCACAAAAUUUAAACUAGAUUCAAGAAGAUCAAGAAAGAGAAAAGAAAAGAAAAAGCCUCCAGAUUUUGAAGAUACAAUGAAACUUAACAAAAAAAAAAAAAAACCACCAAAUUUUCCUUUCGAAAUGAGGUAAUAAGAGGAUUUUUUUUUUUUCUUUUUUCUUUGCCUCUCUUUCAAAUUUGAUUAACUUCUAUGGAAAACGUAUUUUAACUAGUUAUGGAAAACAUAUUUUUUUUUUAAAAAACUUUUCUAUAAGAUACAAGUAAUACUUUAAAAAAAUUGUGAUAUCUAAAAAAUUUUUUGAAAAAUUAUUUUUAAAGAAAUAAGGUAAAUCUAUACUUUUUGUAUAAGAUGUUCUACCUUUAUAUACAAAUUUCUGAUUUUUUUUUUAAAAGUGUAUCCAAAUGGACACUAAACUAUCUAGUUUUUAAUUGUUACAACUUUGAAUUGGAUUUUAUGGUAAACUAAUUUACAAGUUAAUGCAUGGAUUCAUCUUAGAUUCCAUCUAUAAAUUUUUUUAAUUAUCUAAUAUAAGACAUUAUAUUAAUGGGUUGAAUUAAUAAUGUAAUUAUAAUUUAUUUGGCAAGUUUCUUCCUUCAAAUAUAUAAAAUGAAAAUAAAUUUUAAAAAAUAAAAAAAAUGAAAAAAAUAAAAAAUAAAAAAAGAUUUUUUUUAUAGUUUUUCUAAGAUGAUUUUGUAGAGUACUGUUAGUUUAUAGUUUUAACUUUAUUUCAUUUUACUUUUAACUUUAUUUAUUGAGGUAUGUUCUUUUUUGAAACUCUUGUUUAGAUUUUAUAGAGGAUAUAAAUUUUCAGAAAAAAAAAAUUAAAUUUAAAUAAAAUAGGAAUAAAGAAAGGCAAAAGGUGGAUGAAUUUUUUUAAGGCAAAAGUUUGAUAACUUGGCACUAUCAUGUAAUGGGUGAAAUUUUUAAAUACUCAACAAAGGCUAGUGAAAUUUAAAUUAAAAGCUUGACAUGUACCUUUUCGACCAAAAUCUUUGGAGUUGGUGUAAAGUUUUGAGUAUGAGAGAGGUUAGUCUAGGGAAUAUUAUUGCACAUUAGUUCAAAUAAAACAUCAACAUUUUUUUUUUUGUUAAAUUCUAAAUGAACACCACUAUAAAUUAAUGCGAUUUGUAUGCUCAAUUAAAUAAACUCGUUCUUAAGGCAUCACAUGAAGUGUUUAAGUCUAAUUAAUAUUAAUUAAAAAUGAUUAUUUUAAAAAAAUCCAAAGUAAUUUAUUUUUAUCAUAAGUCAAGUAGGAUAGUUUUAUAAAUAAUUGGUUCUAGUUUCUAGUAUUAUUGUACACAAUCGCUAUGUUUGUUGCACCUCCAAAAAAUCUACUACUUGUAAUUAAUUGUAUAUUAUUCUCCAUAUUCACAUCAGUUUAUGUAGUAUGAUUAAUUUAGCAACAAAAUAUAAGUUUACUUGAAAUCGCUUUAAAUUCCUAUGAUAUUAAAGUUUAAGAUUAAAACAAUGUAACAUUAGCCAAAAAGACUAAGAUCUAUAAUGUAACAUAUAAAAUUUAGAAAAUUCAAGGAAGGGUAAACUCGCACCUGUUCUACCCAGAAGAGUGGCUCAAGUUCACAUUCAGAAUUUAUUUGUUGAAAGAGUAUCUCCACUUUAUCACAAUCGAGCACUUCCAAUUCUUUCAGAAGUGGCCAGCUUGAACUAAACCUUCUAGAGCAAAAUCUUUUGAGUUGGUGUAAACCGGAGAGUGUGAGAGAGGUAAGGUUAGGGAAUGAGAGUAAAGGUGCUGCUUCAUCUUCAUUUUCAUUGGCAACAAUUGCCUCCACUCCACUCUCCGAUAUAUAAAGGUCCUCAAGUUGCACAAGAGCACUCGCCACAGAAACCGGAAAAAGGUUUAGCAAUUUGUUGCAUCCCCUUACUUGCAAUUUCCUUAAUUUGGAAAAUGAAUUUGCUGGAAGUUGGUCAGGCCACAAUGCUCUUAUAUUAUCUAGUCCGCGUACAGACAAGGACUCCAAACCUGGGAGUGCAACCUGUGCAAUUGAUGAUCCCUUUAGUUAAUAAUAUAUACAUAUACAUUCCUAAUAAUUAGACACAUGUAAAUAGAAAAUAAGAGGUUAAAGGAGAAUAUAUCAGUAUAACAAAGCACAAAAUUUAAACUCUAUUCAAGAAGAUCCAGAAAGAGAAAAGAAAACGCCUUUUGAUUUUGAAGAUCCAAUGAAACUUUAAAAAAAAAAAAAAAAACCUCCAAAUUUUGCUUUCCAAAUGAGGUAAUAGGAGGAUAUUUUUAUUUUAUUUUUUCUUUGCCUCUCUUUCAAAUUUGAUUAACUUCCAUGGAAAACGUAUUUUAACUAGCCAUGGAAAAUGGAUUUUUUUUUUAAAACUUUUAUAUAAGAUACAAGAACUCUUAGAGGGUUACAUUAUGUAAGUAAUACUUUAAAAAAAAUGUUUAAAAAUAUUGUGAUAUCCAAAAAUUUUACUACCUCGGAUUUUAAAUUUUAAAAAAAUUAUUUUUAAAGAAAUAAGGUAAAUCUAUACUUUUUCGUAUAAGAUAUUCUACCUUUAUAUACAAAUUUCUGAUUUUUUUUUUAAAGUGUAUCCAAAUGGACACUAAACUAUCUAGUUUCGAAUUUUUACAACUUUGAAUUGGAUUUUAUGGUAAACUAAUUGACAAUAUAACGCAUGGAUUCAUCUUAGAUUCCAUCUAUAAAUUUUUUAAUUAUCUAAUAUAAGACAUUAUAUUAAUGGGUUGAAUUAAUAAUGUAAUUAUAAUUUAUUUGGCAACUUUCUUCCUUCAAAUAUAUAAGACGAAAAUAUAUUUUAAAAAAUAAAAAAGAAUGAUAAAAAAUAGAAAAUAAAAAUAGCUUAUUUUAUUGUUUUUCUAAGAUGAUUUUGUAGAGUGUUAGUUUAUAGUUUAACUUUAUUUCAUUUUACUUUUAACAUUAUUUAUUGAGGUAUGUUCUUUUUUGAAACUCUUGUUUAGAUUUUAUAGAGAAUAUAAAUUUUAAGAAAAAAAAUGAAAUUUAAAUAAAAUAAGAAUAAAGAAAGGCAAAAGGUGGAUGAAUUUUUUGAAGGCAAAAGUUUGAUAAUUUGGCACUGUCAUGUAAUGGGUGAAAUUUUUAAAUACUCAACAAAGGCUAGUGAAAUUUAAAUUAAAACCUUGACAUGUACCUUUUCGACCAAAAUCUUUGGAGUUGGUGUAAAGUUUUGAGUAUGAGAGAGGUUAGUCUAGGGAAUAUUAUUGCACAUUAGUUCAAAUAAAACAUCAACAUUUUUUUUUGUUAAAUUCUAAAUGAACACCACUAUAAAUUAAUGCGAUUUUGUAUGCUCAAUUAAAUAAACUCGUUCUUAAGGCAUCACAUGAAGUGUUUAAGUCUAAUUAAUAUUAAUUAAAAAUGAUUAUAUCAAAAAAAAUCCAAAGUAAUUUUUUUUUAUCAUAAGUCAAGUAGGAUAGUUUUAUAAAUAAUUGGUUCUAGUUUCUAGUAUUAUUGUACACAAUCGCUAUGUUUGUUGCACCUCCAAAAAAUCUACUACUUGUAAUUAAUUGUAUAUUAUUCUCCAUAUUCACAUCAGUUUAUGUAGUAUGAUUAAUUUAGCAACAAAAUAUAAGUUUACUUGAAAUCGCUUUAAAUUCCUAUGAUAUUAAAGUUUAAGAUUAAAACAAUGUAACAUUAGCCAAAAAGACUAAGAUCUAUAAUGUAACAAAUAAAAUUUAGAAAAUUCAAGGCAGGGUAAACUCGCACCUGUUCUACCCAGAAGAGUGGCUCAAGUUCACAUUCAGAAUUUAUUUGUUGAAAGAGUAUCUCCACUUUAUCACAAUCGAGCACUUCCAAUUCUUUCAGAAGUAGCCAGCUUGAACUAAACCUUCUAGAGCAAAAUCUUUUGAGUUGGUGUAAACCGGAGAGUGUGAGAGAGGUAAGGUUAGGGAAUAAGAGUAAAGGUGCUGCUUCAUCUUCAUUUUCAUUGGCAACAAUUGCCUCCACUCCACUCUCCGAUAUAUAUAGGUCCUCAAGUUGCACAAGAGCACUCGCCACAGAAACCCGAAAAAGGUUUAGCAAUUUGUUGAAUCCCCUUACAUGCAAUUUCCUUAAUUUGGAAAAUGAAUUUGUUGGAAGUUGGUCAGGCCACAAUGCUCUUAUAUUAUCCAGUCCGCAUACAUACAAGGACUCCAAGCCUUGGAGUGCAACCUGUGCAAUUGAUAAUCCCUUUGGUUAAUAAUAUAUACAUAUACAUUCCUAAUGAUUAGACACAUGUAAAUAGAAAAUAAGAGGUUAAAGGAGAAUAUAUCAGUAUAACAAAGCACAAAAUUUAAACUAGAUUAAAGAAGAUCAAGAAAGAGAAAAGAAAAGAAAAAGCCUCCAGAUUUUGAAGAUACAAUGAAACUUAAAAAAAAAAAAAAAAAACCUCCAAAUUUUCCUUUCGAAAUGAGGUAAUAAGAGGAUUUUUUUUUUCUUUUUUCUUUGCCUCUCUUUCAAAUUUGAUUAACUUCUAUGGAAAACGUAUUUUAACUAGUUAUGGAAAACGGAUUUUUUUUUUUAAAAACUUUUAUAUAAGAUACAAGUAAUACUUUAAAAAAAUUGUGAUAUCUAAAAAAUUUUUUGAAAAAUUAUUUUUAAAGAAAUAAGGUAAAUCUAUACUUUUUGUAUAAGAUGUUCUACCUUUGUAUUCAAAUUUCUGAUUUUUUUUUUUUAAAGUGUAUCCAAAUGCACACUAAACUAUCUAGUUUUUAAUUGUUACAACUUUGAAUUGGAUUUUAUGGUAAACUAAUUUACAAGUUAAUGCAUAGAUUCAUCUUAGAUUCCAUCUAUAAAUUUUUUUAAUUAUCUAAUAUAAGACAGUAUAUUAAUGGGUUGAAUUAAUAAUGUAAUUAUAAUUUAUUUGGCAACUUUCUUCCUUCAAAUAUAUAAAAUGAAAAUAAAUUUUAAAAAAUAAAAAAUAAAAAAAAGAUUUUUUUUAUAGUUUUUCUAAGAUGAUUUUGUAGAGUUCUGUUAGUUUAUAGUUUUCACUUUAUUUAUUGAGGUAUGUUCUUUUUUGAAACUCUUGUUUAGAUUUUAUUGAGAAUAUAAAUUUUAAGAAAAAAAAUAAAAUUUAAAUAAAAUAAGAAUAAAGAAAGGCAAAAGCUGGAUGAAUUUUUUUAAGGCAAAAGUUUGAUAAUUUGGCACUCUCAUGUAAUGGGUGAAAUUUUUAAAUACUCAACAAAGGCUAGUGAAAUUUAAAUUAAAACCAUGACAUGUACCUUUUAGACCAAAAUCUUUGGAGUUGGUGUAAUGUUUUGAGUAUGAGAGAGGUUAGUCUAGGGAAUAUUAUUGCACAUUAGUUCAAAUAAAACAUCAACAUUUUUUUUUGUUAAAUUCUAAAUGAACACCACUAUAAAUUAAUGCGAUUUUGUAUGCUCAAUUAAAUAAACUCGUUCUUAAGGCAUCACAUGAAGUGUUUAAGUCUAAUUAAUAUUAAUUAAAAAUGAUUAUAGUAAAAAAAAUCCAAAGUAAUUUUUUUUUAUCAUAAGUCAAGUAGGAUAGUUUUAUAAAUAAUUGGUUCUAGUUUCUAGUAUUAUUGUAGACAAUCGCUAUGUUUGUUGCACCUCCAAAAAAUCUACUACUUGUAAUUAAUUGUAUAUUAUUCUCCAUAUUCACAUCAGUUUAUGUAGUAUGAUUAAUUUAGCAACAAAAUAUAAGUUUACUUGAAAUGGCUUUAAAUUCCUAUGAUAUUAAAGUUUAAGAUUAAAACAAUGUAACAUUAGCAAAAAAGAUUAAGAUCUAUAAUGUAACAAAUAAAAUUUAGAAAAUUCAAGGCAGGGUAAACUCGCACCUGUUCUACCCAGAAGAGUGGCUCAAGUUCACAUUCAGAAUUUAUUUGUUGAAAGAGUAUCUCCACUUUAUCACAAUCGAGCACUUCCAAUUCUUUCAGAAGUAGCCAGCUUGAACUAAACCUUCUAGAGCAAAAUCUUUUGAGUUGGUGUAAACCGGAGAGUGUGAGAGAGGUAAGGUUAGGGAAUAAGAGUAAAGGUGCUGCUUCAUCUUCAUUUUCAUUGGCAACAAUUGCCUCCACUCCACUCUCUGAUAUAUAUAGGUCCUCAAGUUGCACAAGAGCACUCGCCACAGAAACCCGAAAAAGGUUUAGCAAUUUGUUGAAUCCCCUUACAUGCAAUUUCCUUAAUUUGGAAAAUGAAUUUGUUGGAAGUUGGUCAGGCCACAAUGCUCUUAUAUUAUCCAGUCCGCAUACAUACAAGGACUCCAAGCCUGGGAGUGCAACCUGUGCAAUUGAUAAUCCCUUUGGUUAAUAAUAUAUACAUAUACAUUCCUAAUAAUUAGACACAUGUAAAUAGAAAAUAAGAGGUUAAAGG
rnacentral:lncRNA from 1 species